rnacentral:rRNA from 1 species
UUAAGCGACUAAGCGUACACGGUGGAUGCCCUGGCAGUCAGAGGCGAUGAAGGACGUGCUAAUCUGCGAUAAGCGUCGGUAAGGUGAUAUGAACCGUUAUAACCGGCGAUUUCCGAAUGGGGAAACCCAGUGUGAUUCGUCACACUAUCAUUAACUGAAUCCAUAGGUUAAUGAGGCGAACCGGGGGAACUGAAACAUCUAAGUACCCCGAGGAAAAGAAAUCAACCGAGAUUCCCCCAGUAGCGGCGAGCGAACGGGGAGCAGCCCAGAGCCUGAAUCAGUGUGUGUGUUAGUGGAAGCGUCUGGAAAGGCGCGCGAUACAGGGUGACAGCCCCGUACACAAAAAUGCACAUACUGUGAGCUCGAUGAGUAGGGCGGGACACGUGGUAUCCUGUCUGAAUAUGGGGGGACCAUCCUCCAAGGCUAAAUACUCCUGACUGACCGAUAGUGAACCAGUACCGUGAGGGAAAGGCGAAAAGAACCCCGGCGAGGGGAGUGAAAAAGAACCUGAAACCGUGUACGUACAAGCAGUGGGAGCACAGAGCAAUCUGUGUGACUGCGUACCUUUUGUAUAAUGGGUCAGCGACUUAUAUUCUGUAGCAAGGUUAACCGAAUAGGGGAGCCGAAGGGAAACCGAGUCUUAACUGGGCGUUAAGUUGCAGGGUAUAGACCCGAAACCCGGUGAUCUAGCCAUGGGCAGGUUGAAGGUUGGGUAACACUAACUGGAGGACCGAACCGACUAAUGUUGAAAAAUUAGCGGAUGACUUGUGGCUGGGGGUGAAAGGCCAAUCAAACCGGGAGAUAGCUGGUUCUCCCCGAAAGCUAUUUAGGUAGCGCCUCGUGAAUUCAUCUCCGGGGGUAGAGCACUGUUUCGGCAAGGGGGUCAUCCCGACUUACCAACCCGAUGCAAACUGCGAAUACCGGAGAAUGUUAUCACGGGAGACACACGGCGGGUGCUAACGUCCGUCGUGAAGAGGGAAACAACCCAGACCGCCAGCUAAGGUCCCAAAGUCAUGGUUAAGUGGGAAACGAUGUGGGAAGGCCCAGACAGCCAGGAUGUUGGCUUAGAAGCAGCCAUCAUUUAAAGAAAGCGUAAUAGCUCACUGGUCGAGUCGGCCUGCGCGGAAGAUGUAACGGGGCUAAACCAUGCACCGAAGCUGCGGCAGCGACGCUGAUGCGUUGUUGGGUAGGGGAGCGUUCUGUAAGCCUGUGAAGGUGUGCUGUGAGGCAUGCUGGAGGUAUCAGAAGUGCGAAUGCUGACAUAAGUAACGAUAAAGCGGGUGAAAAGCCCGCUCGCCGGAAGACCAAGGGUUCCUGUCCAACGUUAAUCGGGGCAGGGUGAGUCGACCCCUAAGGCGAGGCCGAAAGGCGUAGUCGAUGGGAAACAGGUUAAUAUUCCUGUACUUGGUGUUACUGCGAAGGGGGGACGGAGAAGGCUAUGUUGGCCGGGCGACGGUUGUCCCGGUUUAAGCGUGUAGGCUGGUUUUCCAGGCAAAUCCGGAAAAUCAAGGCUGAGGCGUGAUGACGAGGCACUACGGUGCUGAAGCAACAAAUGCCCUGCUUCCAGGAAAAGCCUCUAAGCAUCAGGUAACAUCAAAUCGUACCCCAAACCGACACAGGUGGUCAGGUAGAGAAUACCAAGGCGCUUGAGAGAACUCGGGUGAAGGAACUAGGCAAAAUGGUGCCGUAACUUCGGGAGAAGGCACGCUGAUAUGUAGGUGAAGUCCCUCGCGGAUGGAGCUGAAAUCAGUCGAAGAUACCAGCUGGCUGCAACUGUUUAUUAAAAACACAGCACUGUGCAAACACGAAAGUGGACGUAUACGGUGUGACGCCUGCCCGGUGCCGGAAGGUUAAUUGAUGGGGUUAGCGCAAGCGAAGCUCUUGAUCGAAGCCCCGGUAAACGGCGGCCGUAACUAUAACGGUCCUAAGGUAGCGAAAUUCCUUGUCGGGUAAGUUCCGACCUGCACGAAUGGCGUAAUGAUGGCCAGGCUGUCUCCACCCGAGACUCAGUGAAAUUGAACUCGCUGUGAAGAUGCAGUGUACCCGCGGCAAGACGGAAAGACCCCGUGAACCUUUACUAUAGCUUGACACUGAACAUUGAGCCUUGAUGUGUAGGAUAGGUGGGAGGCUUUGAAGUGUGGACGCCAGUCUGCAUGGAGCCGACCUUGAAAUACCACCCUUUAAUGUUUGAUGUUCUAACGUUGACCCGUGAUCCGGGUUGCGGACAGUGUCUGGUGGGUAGUUUGACUGGGGCGGUCUCCUCCUAAAGAGUAACGGAGGAGCACGAAGGUUGGCUAAUCCUGGUCGGACAUCAGGAGGUUAGUGCAAUGGCAUAAGCCAGCUUGACUGCGAGCGUGACGGCGCGAGCAGGUGCGAAAGCAGGUCAUAGUGAUCCGGUGGUUCUGAAUGGAAGGGCCAUCGCUCAACGGAUAAAAGGUACUCCGGGGAUAACAGGCUGAUACCGCCCAAGAGUUCAUAUCGACGGCGGUGUUUGGCACCUCGAUGUCGGCUCAUCACAUCCUGGGGCUGAAGUAGGUCCCAAGGGUAUGGCUGUUCGCCAUUUAAAGUGGUACGCGAGCUGGGUUUAGAACGUCGUGAGACAGUUCGGUCCCUAUCUGCCGUGGGCGCUGGAGAAUUGAGGGGGGCUGCUCCUAGUACGAGAGGACCGGAGUGGACGCAUCACUGGUGUUCGGGUUGUCAUGCCAAUGGCACUGCCCGGUAGCUAAAUGCGGAAGAGAUAAGUGCUGAAAGCAUCUAAGCACGAAACUUGCCCCGAGAUGAGUUCUCCCUGACUCCUUGAGAGUCCUGAAGGAACGUUGAAGACGACGACGUUGAUAGGCCGGGUGUGUAAGCGCAGCGAUGCGUUGAGCUAACCGGUACUAAUGAACCGUGAGGCUUAACCUU